AUUGAACGCUGGCGGCAGGCCUAACACAUGCAAGUCGAACGAGUGGCGGACGGGUGAGUAAUGCCUGGGAAUCUAGCUUAUGGAGGGGGAUAACUACUGGAAACUGUAGCUAAUACCGCGUACCAUAGGAUGAGCCCAGGUGGGAUUAGGUAGUUGGUGGGGUAAAGGCUCACCAAGCCGACGAUCUCUAGCUGGUCUGAGAGGAUGACCAGCCACACUGGAACUGAGACACGGCCCAGACUCCUACGGGAGGCAGCAGUGGGGAAUAUUGCGCAAUGGGGGCAAGCCUGACGCAGCCAUGCCGCGUGAAUGAAGAAGGCCUUCGGGUUGUAAAGUACUUUCAGUCGGGAGGCGUUACCGGCAGAAGAAGCACCGGCUAACUCCGUGCCAGCCGCCGCGGUAAUUC
rnacentral:rRNA from 1 species